rnacentral:lncRNA from 1 species
UGGUAAUAUCAGCCUUGAAUCGACCUCGAAAACGGGAGUGGGUAUUGAUGGCAGUCAACUUUGGGAGAUUCUCCAAUUCCUUCCGGAUCCUAGACAGAAUUUCUGAUCUGUUGGUCCAGUGAUUUUGGAGGCCAAAUACUGUGUCCAACUAAGUUACAAAAAAUUCUGACAACCAGUUCAACAUUAUCUUUGCAGUGUGGUAGGAAGCAGAGUCUUGUUGUCCCCUCCAGACUCUCCAGAUGAAGGAUUUGCCCAGAUUUAAGAAGUUUCUUAUUUCAAAAUUGUCUCAUCCGGCGUGGAUCGCAACAAGAACAUGAUGCCUUUUUCACAAUUGAGGAAUAAAUAUUUCGUUGAUCGAUGGAGUUUUUUGUCACUGACACCAAACACUUUUGGCACACUGCCAAAGUAACAAACAACGUCCUACCAACGCUUACACACAAAGAUUGUUGUCAAAUAACGUCUGUAUGUACCUAUUAGUUUAGGGGUUCGGUCUAGAAAUCUUAGACCAGACGUUUUAAUUUUUGUAUGAACUAACUCCGUACAUUUUGGUCUUGUAGCAAAAUUCGGUCAACACGCACAAGAAAAGUAAGUCUUGAUCGAUCCCACAAAAUAAAAAAUACUAAGUGAAGUGGAAACAUGGUUGAAGCUGUUGUUUAAUCAUAGCUACAUAUAUUAAUAUGAUAAAGAGGUCUCGCAAAUAAUUAGGAAGAAGACUGGUUCUUUUGUCUAAUGUUCUGCCAAAAAUGUACAUCAAGAUUUUUACAAACAUUGCGGCUGAAUUACAUUAAGAAUGGAGAAAUUUUAUUAGUAGGUCUCCUGUUCAUAAAUUUAUAAUAUUCGGUUAAGAUCUAUCAAAUGGUGUAAUUAUGAAUGUCUCUAGUAAAUGGACAACUGCUCAUAGAAUAAUAUGGACUAAAAUACCCUAGUUUGACUAUAAUAGUACUCUAGACAUUAUUCGCCAACACUCUGACAAGAUACCUUUUUUUCAGAAUUUGGCUGAUUCAGUAGAGUUAUAAAAAUAUUGCAAUUUGGAAUAACUUUCUAACACUCCAUGAUUUAAAUAGUCUUCAAUUCAGGAAGAUUUCUCUUCUCCCCGCGUAGAUUGUCGAACUUACACCUUUUUCUGGUUCCACAGUGUAUAAAAUUUGACUUUAGAAUUCCUGAAUCGUGGAUGCGAAACAAACCUACCGGAGGUAUAGUAGAACUUUGGACCUUCCUCGUUCGUGGGAUAAAAUAUUUAUGGGCUCUUUGAGGGCCAUACGUUAACUGUAGUUCGGGAUAACCAUAGAUGUAUAUAAGAGAUUUUGAAUCAAAUUUUGCAAAAGCUCUUUUUCUAUUUGGUAUUCCUACUCACCAGUCGCAUCGGUUGAAAGAAGAAAUAUCCAUCACUGCUGCUUUUGGAAACUCUAAAGCUUUCAUAGCUUAACGUAUUACGGAAGAUAAAGUGAUUGAUGGUAUAGAUCUGAGAGCUAUUUUAAUUUAUGCUGCAACUAGAAAUGCAACUUUUUCUUUGAAAAUUAUCCAGCUGCAUGGUACUUCCUGGAAUUAAGCUGCGAAUCUCAUAAAAUAUUACCCAUAUUUUUCAAUAAGAAAUGCAAAAACUCUCAGAACCAUCAUCAAUAUGUACAAUAGACACUGUAAGAACAUCGGAGUGUAAGAAGUUUAGGAUUUAAAAAAAAAUCUAUUUUGUCUCUCUAUUUAACUAUCAUUUUAUAACUGUUCAGGUUUACAACCAUGUUUUUUGAUUUACUUUGAGGUUCUUUUUAACAUUUGUUAUAUCUGUAAGAUUUUAAAGGUCUAAUGAGAAAUUUAAUUUUAAACAUUAA